GUUAAUGUGUAUGGUGAUGGGCCUCCUCUGGUAGCCACACAUUAUUGAAAACACCUUGCAGAGUAACUCUGUGGUUUUGAUUUAUUUACAGGAUUAUGUCUAGGUUUGUCAGAAGGAACUACAAGACAGUU
ensembl:snoRNA LOC120102019 small nucleolar RNA SNORA18